UCACAAACCCACCCCUGCCAAACCCUAACGACGCUACCCUAAAUUCCCCCAUCGCCGGAGGCGGUGCCACCACAGACCGACCUCAAAUUAACACCAAAUACCCUCCUCAACUCCCUCAAUCCAAAUCUACAAGCACUUUCCAUCGAACAAGCCCAGAACGUCUCAAAUCUUGAUUUGAAAGAAAACCCUAGUGCCACCCCUGUGUUCUCCGGUGGCGGCGCCACCUCUGUUCAACCCCAAAUCAAUACCAAAGAAUCUCCAUGGCUCCCUCUUCCCCAAUCCGGUAGCAUUUCCCCUCGAAUCACCCUAAUCCUUUUCGAAUCUUAAAUCGAAAAUCAGAGCGCUAAAAUCCCAAGACCCCAAAUCAGUGAGUUGAUGAAAUUUUGAGGCCGAAAUCGAUCUUAAUCGUGUGUUUUCGCUUGAGAAUAUAUAAUUAAGGCCCGUUUUGGUCAAAAAUCGAAGCUUCCUUUAAAAGUUUUCAAGAUUUUACCUGCUUGGUUUAGGUAUGUUCAGUUUCAUUUCCUUCCUUUCAUUUUUUUUCUCUUCUUCUUCUUUUUGUUUCAUUUAAAGUUCUAGUCUUCAUUUUUUUUUAAAUUAGUUCUGUUUAUGUGUUUUAAAAUCAAAGUUAUUCGUGCAUGUCAUUUAAUUUCUUUGUUCUGUGUGUUAUUUCAUUUUUUAGUUUUCAAAGAAAGGAAAUCCGAAUUUCUCUUGGGUAAUUCUAUCUAGCCCAACGAUUCUAUAUGGGCUCUGUUAGACAGAGGCCUAGGAGAAAGGAUUUAGCCCGGUCUUGUAGACCAGGUCUGGUUUGAACCAUUGGGUUAAUUUGACCCAUUGGUUUCCUAAAAAAACCGGGGGGAUGGGGGUUAUUUUAGGAAUUCUAUGUUAGGGAAUCUUCAAUAACUGAACAAGGAAGCUUCUUAGAAGCUGGGGUUGGGACUUGUGUGAAAACCUGAUUUUUAGAUUAAAGACUAAAUAGCAAAAACGAAAACUUCAGAAGGACUAAAAUAAAAAAACUGAACCCUUAAGGCUGCCCUGUUUUCUUGCCUAUAAAGGCAUCAUUUCUUGCCUUUCAAGGCAGACCCAAGAGCUGAAAAGAAGAAAAGCUCAGAAAAAUACAAAAAAAUGGCAGGAAUUUUACUGUUUCAUUGAAUUUCAGUGAGUUUGGAUUCCUUUUCAACUUUUGAAACUACUUUUACUCGUCCGAGUGGAAAGGGACUGAACUUGGUCGCCAAGGUUGGGUCUAAAGUUUUGUUGGGCUACUGAGUGUUUGAGUCUAUUGUAUUGAGCUGCUGCACAUCAUUUCUGGGGUUGGGACUAGUUUUGCUGGUUGUUUCAGUGUAGAUUCUUGUUGCUGCUCCUGUUGAUUUUUCAUUUUUGUCUUUGUUCAUUCCUAGGUACACAUCUCUACACUUUAUUCGAAUGUAAAGCUUGAUGUGGGAAAUCAGAAAAAUGAAAUCUGGAGCUCUGAAUUGUAUUCACAGUUAGUUGUGUUCACAUUUUAAUCUACUUGUCUAUUUUUCUUUUUUAGGAAAUUUCGCUUAUUGCCUUUUAAACUCUGAAUAUGUGAUCAGAGACCGAGCUUC
rnacentral:lncRNA from 1 species